rnacentral:lncRNA from 1 species
GAGAUGAAGUUUGAAGCUUCACUGGGUUCACUGUUGCCAGCAGCAUUCACAGCAGUCACUCGGAACUGAUAGAGAGUAGACACCUUGAUGGCUCCUCUGGCAGUUCUUGAUGACCAUGGACGAGCUAAUUGCUGUGGUCUCAAUGGCGGCCUCUUGAGUAGCCAGUAAUUGGAGACCCUCCAUUGUCCAGAGGAGGAGUCCAGCUCACAAGCAUAGAUCCUUUGGUACGUUCUAAGACUUUCGGUUUUCCAGGAGGUCCAGGGAGGCGGAGUUACUUACAGAUUGGAUCACGAGCCGUUUUAGGAUCCGAAGGUGGGCUAAACUUUCCAGGUCCAGCAGCGUUUUCAGCACAGACUCGGAAGACAUAGGUGACACCACCCCUCCCAAAUCAAUAAAACAUACCAAUAGGAUCGACAGCUUUGGUUGGGGGAGUGGCCCGGGAAGGUUCACCAAUACCAGCAGCGUUCUCUGCUCGCACACGGAACUGGUACUCU